CGGAUUCACUGGGUUUAAAGGGUGCGUAGGCGGAUAUGUAAGUCGGGGGUGAAAUCUCUGGGCUUAACCCGGAAACUGCCAUGGAUACUAUGUGUCUUGAAUGUUGUUGAGGUGAGCGGAAUAUGUCAUGUAGCGGUGAAAUGCUUAGAUAUGACAUAGAACACCAAUUGCGAAGGCAGCUCACUAAGCAAAUAUUGACGCUGAGGCACGAAAGCGUGGGGAUCAAACAGG
rnacentral:rRNA from 1 species